rnacentral:rRNA from 1 species
UACGGGGGGGGCAAGCGUUGUUCGGAAUUACUGGGCGUAAAGGGCUCGUAGGCGGCCAACUAAGUCAGACGUGAAAUCCCUCGGCUUAACCGGGGAACUGCGUCUGAUACUGGAUGGCUAGAGGUUGGGAGAGGGAUGCGGAAUUCCAGGUGUAGCGGUGAAAUGCGUAGAUAUCUGGAGGAACACCGGUGGCGAAGGCGGCAUUCUGGACUGUAACUGACACUGAGGAACGAAAGCCAGGGGAGCAAACGGG